ACGGAAGGCAGCAGUGGGGAAUAUUGCACAAUGGGCGAAAGCCUGAUGCAGCGACGCCGCGUGAGUGAAGAAGUAUCUCGGUAUGUAAAGCUCUAUCAGCAGGGAAGAAAAUGACGGUACCUGACUAAGAAGCCCCGGCUAACUACGUGCCAGCAGCCGCGGUAAUACGUAGGGGGCAAGCGUUAUCCGGAUUUACUGGGUGUAAAGGGAGCGUAGACGGUUUGGCAAGUCUGAAGUGAAAUGCGGGGGCUCAACUCCUGAACUGCUUUGGAAACUGUCGAACUAGAGUGCAGGAGAGGUAAGUGGAAUUCCUAGUGUAGCGGUGAAAUGCGUAGAUAUUAGGAGGAACACCAGUGGCGAAGGCGGCUUGCUGGGCUUUAACUGACGCUGAGGCACGAAAGUAUGGGGAGCAAACAGGAUUAGAUACCCUGGUA
rnacentral:rRNA from 1 species